CCGGCGCACGGGUGAGUAACGCGUAUGCAACUUACCUAUCGGAGGGGGAUAACCCGGCGAAAGUCGGACUAAUACCGCAUGAAGCAGGGGCCCCGCAUGGGGAUAUUUGCUAAAGAUUCAUCGCUGAUAGAUAGGCAUGCGUUCCAUUAGGCAGUUGGCGGGUAACGGCCCACCAAACCGACGAUGGAUAGGGGUUCUGAGAGGAAGGUCCCCCACAUUGGUACUGAGACACGGACCAA
rnacentral:rRNA from 1 species